rnacentral:rRNA from 1 species
AACGAACGCUGGCGGCAUGCCUAACACAUGCAAGUCGAACGAGACCUUCGGGUCUAGUGGCGCACGGGUGCUUAACGCGUGGGAACCUUCCCUUAUGUUCGGAAUAACUCCCCGAAAGGGGUGCUAAUACCGGAUAAUUUCUUCGGACCAAAGAUUUAUCGCCUUUGGAUGGGCCCGCGUUGGAUUAGCUUGUUGGUAGGGUAAAAGCCUACCAAGGCGACGAUCCAUAGCUGGUCUGAGAGGAUGAUCAGCCACACUGGGACUGAGACACGGCCCAGAAUCCUACGGGAGGAAGCAGUGGGGAAUAUAGGAAAAUGGGGGAAAGGCUGAACCAGCAAUGACGGGUGAGUGAUGAAGGCCUUAGGGUUGUAAAGCUCUUUUAACCGGGAUGAUAAUGACAGUACCGGGAGAAUAAGCACCGGCUAACUCCGUG